rnacentral:lncRNA from 1 species
GUUAACGCGAAAAAGGCGUGUCUUCCAAUUUUGUAUAAUAAAGUUAACGCCCGUUUACUGUUUGUAGUAAACGCGCGUUAACGCAGAUUGUCCUCGUAUCCUGGAUACACUGACCUAAUAUAUCACAUGAUAAGGUACAUCAAAAUAUCCAUCUGUCCAUUUUCGAUCAACAUAUUGACGAUUGCAUUUAAUGAAACGACACCUCUUUAAUUAAUUAAUUUAUUGAAAAUUAAUAAUUGCAUAUAAGAACAAAAUGGAAAUUCGUCCUGGAACUGUAAAACCUACAAGACUUUCAGUUUAC